UCUUUCUGAAGAAAUGUGGGAAUCAAAAAGCACACGGCUCACAGCACACAAUGACCUGGCCAGCGCUGCUGGAUCCUGCACAGCCAGAGCCAGGCUGUGGGCGUGCUCUGAACAGUACCAUCCCCUUGGCAGCCCCAGAAGCAAAAGCAGCUUUUCCCUCUGACACAAACUACACCCAGGUCCAACCUCUCAUUUUCACUCCUCAGAUCCUUCCUGACCUCUCCAUGAGCACCCAUGGAGCUCCUGCUGCUGAGUGCCACAUGUGAAUCCACGAAUUACCCUGAUCUCCUCACCGGGCUUCCAUCAUUUACAGAUGUUAGCAGGGAUGCCUGAAUAUGGUGUUGGGAGAGCUGCUCAUCCCUGGCCACGGGCCAUCAUCCCACCACCCCAACCAGGAAAGGCAUUCCAAUCUGGGAAAGACACACUGUGGGCAGCUGGCAGAGAAGAGGGAGAUGGUUUGAGUAAAGCCUCCCAGGAGCACCAGGUGAGGCUGAAAGGACUAAUGAGCUCUGUCCUCCUCCUGCUGCGAGCUGUGGACCCAAGCAGAGACAUUUCAUCUGGUAGAGACUUGCACAUCAACAUACCCAUUCCUCCAGGUUUUCCUUUCCAGCCUUUCCCCAAAUAAAGGCUCAUGCUGCUCUGCAGCAGGCUCAGGCCCAGGCUUUUUAUUAUUUCCAAGGUCAUUUGCUCUGCAGCGGGGCUGGAAAACAGAAUUGCCUUUCUUGUGCUGUUUAUGUCUACCAGAUACACACUACUUGCUUUUUCA